CGAACGGAUAAGGAGCUUGCUCCUUUGAAGUUAGCGGCGGACGGGUGAGUAACACGUGGGUAACCUACCUAUAAGACUGGGAUAACUUCGGGAAACCGGAGCUAAUACCGGAUAACAUUUAGAACCGCAUGGUUCUAAAGUGAAAGAUGGUUUUGGUAUCACUUAUAGAUGGACCCGCGCCGUAUUAGCUAGUUGGUAAGGUUACGGCUUACCAAGGCGACGAUACGUAGCCGACCUGAGAGGGUGAUCGGCCACACUGGAACUGAGACACGGUCCAGACUCCUACGGGAGGCAGCAGUAGGGAAUCUUCCGCAAUGGGCGAAAGCCUGACGGAGCAACGCCGCGUGAGUGAUGAAGGGUUUCGGCUCGUAAAACUCUGUUAUUAGGGAAGAACAAAUGUGUAAGUAACUGUGCACAUCUUGACGGUACCUAAUCAGAAAGCCACGGCUAACUACGUGCCAGCAGCCGCGGUAAUACGUAGGUGGCAAGCGUUAUCCGGAAUUAUUGGGCGUAAAGCGCGCGUAGGCGGUUUCUUAAGUCUGAUGUGAAAGCCCACGGCUCAACCGUGGAGGGUCAUUGGAAACUGGGAAACUUGAGUGCAGAAGAGGAAAGUGGAAUUCCAUGUGUAGCGGUGAAAUGCGCAGAGAUAUGGAGGAACACCAGUGGCGAAGGCGACUUUCUGGUCUGUAACUGACGCUGAUGUGCGAAAGCGUGGGGAUCAAACAGGAUUAGAUACCCUGGUAGUCCACGCCGUAAACGAUGAGUGUUAAGUGUUAGGGGGUUUCGGCCCCUUAGUGCUGCAGCUAACGCAUUAAGCACUCCGCCUGGGGAGUACGACCGCAAGGUUGAAACUCAAAGGAAUUGACGGGGACCCGCACAAGCGGUGGAGCAUGUGGUUUAAUUCGAAGCAACGCGAAGAACCUUACCAAAUCUUGACAUCCUUUGAAAACUCUAGAGAUAGAGCCUUCCCCUUCGGGGGACAAAGUGACAGGUGGUGCAUGGUUGUCGUCAGCUCGUGUCGUGAGAUGUUGGGUUAAGUCCCGCAACGAGCGCAACCCUUAAGCUUAGUUGCCAUCAUUAAGUUGGGCACUCUAGGUUGACUGCC
rnacentral:rRNA from 1 species